AUCGCAAACGCCGCGAUUUUCGAGCUCACGCAUUCAUCCAACCGAUGCUCCUGCUGAGCAAUGGUUCGAGCAUGCAGAGCUGGCAGGAACCGCUUCAUUGCGUGUUCAUGUAUCUGCCCGCAGCAUAUUGCUUCUUUUGAGAGGCAAGGCUGUGCGACAUCUUGUCAAUACUUUACAGCGCGCUGUCACAAAAGCGUCGCAUUCAGGUAGGUCCACGACAACUGCCAUGGCAAUCAACGAGACAGACAUAGAAUCUUCUCGAGCCUGGCUCUCUGAUAUAUAAAGAUGCCUUUGUGCUUUUUUCUGUUGCUUCUGAUUCUCUCCUCGAGACAGACAACAAUGUGAUUCUGCCAACUAAUCAUGACAGCCUUACACAGUAUCACUUUCAUCAAAGUACAGGACAUCCAUUACUAUGAAUCAAUUUUAGAUAGUCACAAUAGAACACAGUUCGAAACACCUCUGCUUUUGCCCUCCUUAGUGAUCGAUAUCGAUAAACAUACUAUGCUAUAUCUGGUUGCCAGCAGAUGCGCUUCGGCGUAUCGAAUCGACAUUCACAUCAUCUUCCCAUUGAUAUGAAUGUUUUCGCUCUGGCAUAGAGAGAUCACUUUUGACCCAUUGCUGGGCGCCCAUGUUGAGAGAUCGUUUUGUAUCUCACGGAUAUCUGGGAAUCAGUAGAGGUUACAUACCAUCAAGAAUAUCACCAGAUGGUCAAAUCGAACAGUGAUAAAAAGUUCUGC